CUAACACCCGUACUUUCCAUGACACAAGAGGAAGUCAGCUGAGCCGGCUGGGUUUUCCAUGCCGCUGCUAGGUGGAGGCCGAGGUGGGGGAGGGGAGCGAGCCCCCUAGGCCAGUGUCAGAUCCUCAGCGGCCUCCGCGGGACAGACUGUACCAUAUUGUCGGGACUACACCAGAGUGUCCUGGCUCAGGGCAUCCAUCAGGGCUGUUACCACAGGACGGACAAAGCGGUGUGGAAUGGAUGACCAACCUCAGGCGCUUGUGUGCAGGUGCCUUGCUCUAAAACUCUCCAGGGGCUUUGCAGCCAGCACUGAUCCUGGCCAGGCUGUGGUGAUGAGGCAUGGCUUGAACAACCCUACGUGCUAGAAGGGGACGUUGGAUGCCCUGAAGCUGAACUUCCAUGUGGCUGUGAGUCUCACAAUGAAAGUGCUGGGAACAUCACAGAGAUCCUCUAGAAGAACAGAAGGUGUUCAUGACCAUUGAACACCUCCCUAGCCCCUGCCUGCUUAAAGUGGAUGCAUUUUAUUGGAUUCUUGAAAAUAUGUCAUUGGACGUGAGUUAUGAAUCACAUCCUGCUUCAGCAAACCUUCGACAAGAUGAGACAUUGUAGAAAACAUCCCUGCAACGUGAGGGCGGGCCUAUGUGCUGCCAGUCAUUGCCAGAGACGAGGGCCGUGUGUCCUCCAGCAGCAGCUUCUCUGGUUCCAUAAGGUGGAGAAAAAGGAGACCGAUGACCACAUCCAAGUGAUUCAAAUUCUUGUUUUUAGAGUCCUAGAUAAAUUGAGUUAGAACAAGUGUUAUUGUGUGGACUUCAGUGAUGGCUUCUUAUAGUCUGAGGGCAGAAUUGGCUGGCUGCCUGCCUCAGUGUCUGUGUAGCCAUCAAAUCCCAAGUGUUUACUAGUCAUGUGACCUUGCUCUUGAUCAGUGGCUAAAUCUGCAAAAGUACGUCAUUCGGACAAUGAGAUCUCUGGGCUGUGUUUUAGCUCUAAGAAUUUAAGAACUCCAAGAAAGCAAUUCAUGCUCAGGUAUGCAUGACUGGUACCUUCCAGGAGAAGCCAUCUUUUAAAAAGACUCUUGAGAAGACAAGCAUCUUAAUGAAGAAGGACCUGGGGGUAAUGGCAGCUCAGUAAGCAGUGUGGUUGGCUGUGGACGUUUUGGUGAAGAAACUAUACUGGAACCGUCAGCUUUAGUGUUUGUGGUGGAGAGACAAAAGUUUGUGUAAAUCUAUCUGUUCACUUACAAGCACCCACCAGUAUCCCUAAGAUGCCUUUCAUAGCCCCUUCCUGGGUUACAAACUUUCUGGACCCAUAGACGCCUCAAGGAAGGCCAGACACAGCCAACUGGAAGAAUGCUAUACUCAUGGCGGCCUCACCCUGGCACAUGGCUUGAGGACUGUGGUGGUCACCUACUCUGUGGUCAACCUGGGCAAUUUAAUGAGACUCUGUCUCCAAAAACAUAAAAAGUUUUAAAGUGAAGGAAAGGCUAUGCUUGUCUGGCAUGGGUGGGGCCAUGGGUUUGUCCUCAGCAUUGCAACCCAAAGUUCAUCUGUAGAUCAGACUGGCCUCUGGAUGGCCAGUUUGAGGCCUGAGAGAAGGGAAAGCCUGUACUGUAGACUUGUGUCUUAGCUGUAGUGUGAAUCUCUCAGCAUCAGUGACCUCAUCUCCAAAGUUGGGCAAGGUCCUGGGCUUUGCCAGCAAUCCUUGGGCCUCAGUCUCUCUUUUAGUGAGAGGAGAGGGUUAUGUGUGUGAGGGCCAGCCCUUACAACACUGAGUUCUUCUUUGUUGGGAUUUUUGGGAAUGGUUUCUGAUGACGCUGAGGUGAAUCUGGGUCUCAUAGAUAGAUAUAAAGUCCUGAUGGCAGCUCCAUCCUUCAGUCAUGUCUGGAAGUGAGGGCUGGACCACCUGGGUUGUGUGCCAAUGAGUGCUCUCCCCUUGACUGCAUAGAUGCUGCCAAAGGUCCCUUUGUAACUCCCCACCCCCAAGGAAGCCUCUCAGACUGGAGGUGUACUGCACCUACAGAUCCAGAUCCUGGGGAGGGGGUGGCUGCUGAGAUGGUGGCGGCGAUAAACUUGUUGCACAACACAUAAAGCUUUGCUUUCUGGUUUUUGUGUGGGUGCUGUCCUUGUGGAGGACAAUCAGAUGUCCUUGAAUGGAUGUAGCAGAGUCUUGCUCCACCCUUGUUGCCUGACACGGAAGCGAGGCUAACAUGGUGGUAGAGGAAGAGGUCUCAGAUAUAGUCUGGGCUGGAUUUGGGUCUUCUUGGGGCUAAUGCCAUGGCUGCCACUGAGGGUUGUUACGUGAGAUGAGGGAGCAAGCGAGGGAUAGGAAGGAUGGGGAGCUCUUGAGCAUGAGCAGGUUACGUAUUUGCAAACUGAAUGAAAAAAGUGAAGAAUGUGGGAACAGAGAAGCGGCCUCCAUUCUGUAGAGUACAGUACAAAAACCAUUUCUCAGCUGGGUUUGGUGACACAGGCCCAUCAUUCCAGCACGUAGUAGGCCACGUUUGGAAGACCAUGAGCUAGAGGGUAGCCUUGGCUAAAUAGUGAACUCCUGUCUCCUUCUCUCAUUUCUCUCUGCCUUUGGGUUGGUAACUUGUGACUCCCAUACUGCUCACCUCUAAUAACUUUUCAUUGGUUCAUCUUGUUUAAUUAAAAAGUGAUGAACUCAGGAACCUUCCUGUUCAGAGGUGUCGUGCCCAGCUCUGGUGAGGCCUGAGCACCUAUAGCCUGGAGGACACCCAAGGGUGAUAUCAGCAAACUAAGAAGGAGGCAGGAAGGUGAUGGGUGAUGGUGACACUGGAUUCUUGUUUUAAGCUGGGGCAGGAAUGAAGCAUGGCCAUGACACCCAUCUGCAACUUUUGAGAAACCUUUGUGGGACACAGAUGUUCAGGUGGAAGGGUAGCCUAUUUAUAGAAACAUACGUCAAAGGAAGAAACAAACAUGCUUCUUGAACAAAGAGAGACAAUUAACCCAAGAGCUUCCCUGGCUGUACCCACAGUGGGAUGUAUGCCUUGGAGGUAAUGUGGACCAGAUGAUCCUGGGCAGUCCCACAUGGAGACUAGCCUGGGUUCUCCAUCCCAUCCCAUUCCUGAUGGAUGAUGAGUGUACCUCAGGGCUGGGUGUGAGCAUUUUCUGAGCUUUCCGCUGAGUGAGUUGGUCGCUGGCUCAUGCUCAGCUUUCACUGAGUUUGGUCAGCAACACUGAGAAUGCUCCACUGCUCCAGCCACCAGAAUUAGCCCCUUUGUGUCUCCAUCUGUCCUUAUAGAGCAGGGCUCUACAAAUACAGUUAGGAAGGUGGUGGCAGGCUGUAGUGUAGAUGUCCUUUCAUCUGCAGAUGUGGGUAACUCAGACACAGCCACCACAGAGCUGCUGUUCUGCCUGCCUUCACAGGGGACUCUGCUGUGAUGGGAAAGUCUCCUAAGUCCAGUCAGACCCCAAGACCACGUCCUUAGUGUUCCACAAAGAUCUCCUGACCUUGGGAGCAGCUGGGAACUUAGCACCCCAACUCACCCAGGCAAAAUUUAAAUAUUCAUAAAACAAUAGGUUGUUUUGUAAAAGACAUUCUGAUAGAUGUUGGGAACGGAGACAGAAAGAAUAAACAAGUUAAUAGGCAAGCUCAGGUUUUGCUUCUCAAAAGUCCAUUGAUUUCUUUCUUUCUUUCUUUCUUUCUUUCUUUCUUUCUUUCUUUCUUUCUUUCUUUCUUUCUUUCUUUCUUUCUUCUUUCGAGACAGGGUCUCACUCACUACAUAGCUCAGGCAGCCCUCCAAUUCAUUGUCUUCCUGCCUCAGCCUCAUGAGUGUUGGGGUUGUAGGUAUGCACCACCCUGCCCAAUGAUACUUUAUAAUCUGAAUGAAGAAACUAUCGAAGUAGAAUACAAAGUGAUACACAGGAUGGAAUGAUUUGUGAAUGGACGGCAGUGGCAGGAGUCAGGCUCCCCACACUUGGCAUGGGGCAGGGUUCCAAAUGAAAGAGAAGGCUAAGGUGAUACAUACCAUGUUGUGCUGGACUAUCCUGGGGCAUUGGUGUGCAUGUAGGAUGGUCUUUAUGGAGUUGCUGAUGGAGACAUGUGGAAGUGUGUAUGGAUUUGUGCAUACACCUAAGUUGAUGCAUGUGCAUGGAUGUACACACACACACACACACACACACACACACACACACUUAUUGGUCAGUUGACAUGGCUUAGGCAAUUCUGCCCUAGUAACCAUCAAUCUCCCAGCACCCAGACUAUGUUUUUAGUUGUUCAGCAAAAGGAAGCAGCUGCCCUGGAGAAGAGGCUGGUUCUAAAGCCGGAAUGUCUUUCAAUUGUCCUGUUGUAGCAAAAUACAGGUGAUAUAAAACCUGCCACUCUUUUAACAGUUUCACGUAGCCCAGGCUUUUUAGGGAGCAUAGCAUCGAGGUCCUUGUGCCCACAGAUCUCCAGAGAAACCAGGAAUGUUGAGCACACAGGAUUGUCUUUCCAAUGGAAAAGAUGAAAACCCUGCAUCCAGAAAGCUGAAAAUCGGAAGUGAUUAGUAGUAUGGUGAUCUGUUACCUGUUGGCCAGGCCAUAUCAAGCUCCCACAACCAGGACUCGAGGUGGCUAAUAGUCCCAACGACCUCUAUGCUAUCUGUUCGACUGAGACCAGGCCAGACUCUUCCUUAGGCCCUUAAGCUAGUACAGGUAGCCUAUCUCUAGAACCCAUCUUCUUGGAAGACAUGAUAUGACCUCUGAGUUGAGUUUCAAUAUAAUUAUACUUCCUUGCACAUUGAGGAUUGUAUUACACCAGGAAAUCCCCCUCCCCAAUUUAUAAGGGCCUUAAAUACAUUGGGAACCAACUGCCUGACAUCAGGCUCUUUAGAAGUCUUGAUCCAGGUCGAUGAUGAACUGGUCUAUCUGAACUGAGUUUUCCUUCUCAUCUUUUCCUGGUUUGCUUUUCUGCCUGACACCUUCAGAGACCCCUCACAGUCUGGCCUCAGACUUCUGUUUGUCCCUACCUCAGCGUCCCAAUUGCUGGUAGACAACCACCAGGCCUGGCCAAAAUCUAACUUCUUAAAUAUUAAUUCUCUAAACACUUAUUUUUUGUGUUGUGUGUGGAGGUCAGAGGUCAGAGUUCAGAGGCCAGAGGCCAGAAGUCAGCUAGUGAGAGUCAGUUCUCUCCUUCCAGAACCAUGUGGAUUCUGAGGAUCCAGCUCCAGCAGUGAGUCUUGGCAGCUUGUUCAUCUACUCACGGAGCCACCGCACGGCCCAGUCUCAAGCCUUGCUAAGUGUGUAAUUCAGUGGUAUUAAAUAUGUUUGCAAUUACC